rnacentral:rRNA from 1 species
UACGUAGGGUGCGAGCGUUGUCCGGAAUUAUUGGGCGUAAAGAGCUCGUAGGCGGUCUGUCGCGUCGGUCGUGAAAACUUGGGGCUUAACCCUGAGCUUGCGGUCGGUACGGGCAUGACUGGAGUUCGGCAGGGGAGACUGGAAUUCCUGGUGUAGCGGUGAAAUGCGCAGAUAUCAGGAGGAACACCGGUGGCGAAGGCGGGUCUCUGGGCCUUACCUGACGCUGAGACGCGAAAGCGUGGGGAGCGAACCGG